rnacentral:rRNA from 1 species
CCUACGGGAGGCAGCAGUUGGGAAUCUUGGACAAUGGGGGAAACCCUGAUCCAGCCAUGCCGCGUGAGCGAUGAAGGCCUUCGGGUUGUAAAGCUCUUUCGCCAGGGACGCGGUACCUGGAUAAGAAGCCCCGGCUAACUUCGUGCCAGCAGCCGCGGUAAUACGAAGGGGGCUAGCGUUGUUCGGAAUUACUGGGCGUAAAGCGCGCGCAGGCGGCUUUUCAAGUCAGGGGUGAAAGCCCGGAGCUCAACUCCGGAACUGCCCUUGAAACUGUGAAGCUUGAGUACGGGAGAGGUGAGUGGAAUUCCCAGUGUAGAGGUGAAAUUCGUAGAUAUUGGGAAGAACACCGGUGGCGAAGGCGGCUCACUGGCCCGUCUGACGCUCAGGCGCGACAGCGUGGGGAUCAAACAGGAUUAGAUACCCUUGUAGUC